rnacentral:rRNA from 1 species
UACGGGAGGCAGCAGUGGGGAAUAUUGCACAAUGGGCGAAAGCCUGAUGCAGCUAUGCCGCGUGUAUGAAGAAGGCCUUAGGGUUGUAAAGUACUUUCAUCGGGGAGGAAAAAACAAAACUAAUAAUUUUAUUUCUUGACGUUACCCGAAAAAGAAGCACCGGCUAACUCCGUGCCAGCAGCCGCGGUAAUACGGAGGGUGCUAGCGUUAAUCAGAAUUACUGGGCGUAAAGAGCACGUAGGUGGUUUUUUUAAGUCAGAUGUGAAAUCCCUGGGCUUAACCUAGGAAACUGCAUUUUGAAACUGAAAUACUAGAGUAUCGUAGAGGGAGGUAGAAUUCUAGGUGUAGCGGUGAAAAUGCGUAGAUAUCUGGAGGAAUACCUGUGGCGAAAGCGGCCUCCUAAACGAAUACUGACACUGAGGUGCGAAAAGCGUGGGGAGCAAACAGGGAUUAGAUACC